CAAAGGUUUGGUCCUGACUUUACUAUCAAUUUUAACUGAAUUUAUACAUGCAAGUAUCCGCGCCCCCGUGAGGAUGCCCUCGGUUUUCUAAUGAAAAUCAGGAGCUGGUAUCAGGCUCAAUAGUUUGCCCACAACACCUUGCUUAGCCACACCCCCAAGGGAGUACAGCAGUAAUAAAUAUUAAGCUAUAAGUGAAAACUUGACUUAAUUACAGUUAAUAGGGCCGGUAAAACUCGUGCCAGCCACCGCGGUUAUACGAGAGACCCAAAUUGAUAAACAACGGCGUAAAGGGUGGUUAUAAUUAUAAAUACACUAGGGCCGAACUUGUCCCAGACUGUUAUACGUUACGGAAUAAUGAAGACCAUAAACGAAAGUAGCCCUAAACUAUUGAACCCACGAAAGCUAGGAAACAAACUGGGAUUAGAUACCCCACUAUGCCUAGCCAUAAACCCCGAUAAUAUUAUACAUCAAUUAUCCGCCAGGGUACUACGAGCGUAAGCUUAAAACCCAAAGGACUUGGCGGUGCUUUAGACCCCCCUAGAGGAGCCUGUUCUAUAACCGAUAAUCCCCGUUAAACCUCACCCUCUUUUGUUUUAUCCGCCUAUAUACCACCGUCGUCAGCUUACCCUUUGAAGGCUUAUUAGUAAGCAAAAUUGGUCUAUCCCAAAACGUCAGGUCGAGGUGCAGUGUAUGAGAGGGGAAGAAAUGGGCUACAUUUACUAAUUUAGUAAACUACGAAAAAGGUGCUGAAACACACCUUAGAAGGAGGAUUUAGCAGUAAGGGGGGAAAUAGAGUGCUCCCCUGAAACUGGCCCUGAAGCGCGCACACACCGCCCGUCACUCUCCCCACAUAAUAAACUUAUUGUAUAUUUAAAUAAAUCUCUUAUAUUUUAGGGGAGGCAAGUCGUAACAUGGUAAGCGUACCGGAAGGUGCUCUUGGAAAAAU